ensembl:snoRNA SNORD24 Small nucleolar RNA SNORD24
UGCCACAAUGAUGACAUUAUAUUUGCUACUCUUGACUUGGAAGAGUGAUGAUAAUCAUAGUCCACCAUUACUGUAACUGAGGCA